GUUUGACCUCGGAUCAGGUAGGAAUACCCGCUGAACUUAAGCAUAUCAAUAA
rnacentral:rRNA from 1 species